UUUCGCAAUGCCCGAAAGGGUGACGAAGCGACGCCGCGUGUGGGAAGAAGGCCUUCGGGUUGUAAACCACUGUCGGGAGUUAGGAAAUGUAAGGGUGCUAAUAGUAUCCUUACUUGACUAAGGCUCCGGAGGAAGCCACGGCUAACUCUGUGCCAGCAGCCGCGGUAAUACAGAGGCGGCAAGCGUUGUUCGGAAUUAUUGGGCGUAGAGAGCACGUAGGCGGCCUUGUAAGUCAGUUGUGAAAGCCUUCUGCUUAACGGAAGAACAGCAGCUGAUACUGCAAGGCUAGAGUGCGGAAGGGGAGAGUGGAACUUCUGGUGGAGCGGUGAAAUGCGUAGAUAUCAGAAGGAACACCGGCGGCGAAGGCGACUCUCUGGUCCGUAACUGACGCUGAGUGUGCGGAAGCUAGGGGAGCGAACGGGAUUAGAUACCCCGGUAGUCCUAGCCGUAAACGAUGGGCACUAAGUAGAGGGGUUUUA
rnacentral:rRNA from 1 species